rnacentral:rRNA from 1 species
GUGAGGAAUAUUGGUCAAUGGACGCAAGUCUGAACCAGCUAUGCCGCGUGCAGGAAGAAGGUUCUAUGGAUCGUAAACUGCUUUUGUACAGGAAGAAAUUAUCCCUCGUGAGGGAGCUUGACGGUACUGUAAGAAUAAGCACCGGCUAACUCCGUGCCAGCAGCCGCGGUAAUACGGAGGGUGCAAGCGUUAUCCGGAUUCACGGGGUUUAAAGGGUGUGUAGGCGGGCUUGUAAGUUAGGGGUGAAAUCCUACAGCUUAACUGUAGAACUGCCUUUGAUACUAUAGGUCUUGAAUAUUGUUGAGGUGGGCGGAAUACAUCAUGUAGCGGUGAAAAGCUUAGAUAUGAUGUAGAACACCGAUUGCGAAGGCAGCUCACUAAGCAAAUAUUGACGCUGAGGCACGAAAGCGUGGGGAUCAAACAGGAUUAGAAACCCUGGUAGUCC